AAGUACAGAAACAAAUGUCAUGAAGAAAACCAAAAAAAAA
rnacentral:sRNA from 1 species